CCAUCAAGUUUACAUUUUUAACUGUUAAGUUAUAGCCCCUGGGGCAGAAAAGCAUUCUGGAAACAUAUGAACUUAUAUGGUGACUCCAGCUUUCUUAACCAUGGACCAUUCACCCAGCAAUAGAAGAAGAAAGUUAUGGAAGCUACUAGGUAAUUUCCUUUAGGUAACAUCUUUGGCCCCUUCUGUCAUGUGUCCCAUUCCACAUUUCCUCUGCCCACUCUGUCUAUAAGCCUUGGAAAGGCACUGGGAAUCAGGCUCUCAUUCUGUUCCUGACCUUCUGGUGUUUGUACUUGGCUUGUGGCUGCUGGCCACUGACUGGUUUGCCUUCAGUUCCACCCCUUGGAAGCCAGGAUAAUGCUGGUGAAUUGACAGACCCACUUAGAAAAACGGUUAGUCUCCCUUCCAUCUUUUUAAAGGGCAAGUCUAGAGAUGAAUUUAGUCAGUUACUAUUUAAAAAAAGUCUUCAUAAAAAAUGAGGUUAAGGCAGGUGUCUUUUACAUCGGUUAAAUGUGAAUCUUGGCAUAAAAAUUUGUCUCUGGCUCAACAUCCUUUGCCCUUUCCACAAAAAUGUGUUUACCCAAGAUAAAAAUAAUUUUGCAUUGCCUGUGAACUCUGGGGUUCUAUAUUCUAGAUUCACUGUGAUUUUAUUCCCAAUCUUUUUGUUGUUAGAUGUUGUCUUCCUGACUUCCAUGCCUGGUUACAGUCUCUGACAAACUACUCUUGUUAUCUGCAGAAGGGCAGAUAUUUUAUAGUUCAAAAAUGCGAAUGGCCGAUUUAGACUCUUGAAAUGUAUUGAAAGAAUAAUCUGCCUUCAUUUGGUAUUAUACAGAAAUCACCUCUGCAGAGAUGUUCUGGAGGAACAUUUAUUCUGGCCUGUUUUCUACAAUCCUCUCGGGAAAGUUAAACUGGCUAAUGAGCACUGGACUAGGAGACGGUGUCAAAUCCCGCCUCUGCCAUCUUCUUCUUCUUGUUUUACCUGCAAAUGUCUCAUUUUCCACUGCAACUGCUUGCAGCUGUAUCCCUCCACAAAUGGAAACAGAAUGCUCGCAGCAACCACCACCAAACGUAUAA
rnacentral:lncRNA from 1 species